rnacentral:lncRNA from 1 species
CAACAGAGUAUCUGUGAAUCAGACGUACAGGAUUGUUUCCAGUUCCUGGGCUUUUGCAUCACAUAUUUUCAGAGUGAAGAAAACAGAAAAUAAAUGGUUUUCAUUCUUUGGAAGCUACAUCCUGCCUUAGAAAGAACUGUGUCCAAACUUUUCUUGAAAACAUUUCAUCUGACAAACAUGUUGGAGUGCUCUCAGAUGGGAGUGGACCAUUCCUGUGUAGCAGUAUCAUGAGCUCUGCUUUGCCUACUAAGACCUUUCUGGAAACCGUGGGAGCUCUCUGCCCUCCAGCCAACGGGGAAGCAGCAGAAUGAAGAGGGCUAAUAGCGGCUGUCAACUGAGAGUGCUCAGGUAUACAUUUUGUGGUGAAAGGACACGCUGUGAUUCCUGACUGCUUCAUGACCACAUUGAGC